rnacentral:rRNA from 1 species
UAGGGAAUAUUGGACAAUGGGCGCAAGCCUGAUCCAGCCAUGCCGCGUGAGUGAAGAAGGCCCUCGGGUUGUAAAGCUCUUUUGUCCGGAAAGAAAAGCAUCGGGUUAAUACCCCGGUGUUCUGACGGUACCGGAAGAAUAAGCACCGGCUAGCUUCGUGCCAGCAGCCGCGGUAAUACGAAGGGUGCAAGCGUUACUCGGAAUUACUGGGCGUAAAGCGUGCGUAGGUGGUUCGUUAAGUCUGAUGUGAAAGCCCUGGGCUCAACCUGGGAAUGGCAUUGGAAACUGGCGGACUGGAGUGCGGUAGGGGGUAGAGGAAUUCCCGGUGUAGCAGUGAAAUGCGUAGAGAUCGGGAGGACCAUCCGUGGCGAAGGCGGCUACCUGGACCAGCACUGACACUGAGGCACGAAAGCGUGGGGAG